rnacentral:rRNA from 1 species
CACGUAGGUGACAAGCGUUGUCCGGAUUUACUGGGCGUAAAGAGCGCGCAGGCGGUCGUUCAAGUCGAGUGUGAAAGCCCCCGGCUCAACUGGGGAGGGUCACUCGAUACUGAUCGACUCGAAGGCAGGAGAGGGAAGUGGAAUUCCCGGUGUAGUGGUGAAAUGCGUAGAUAUCGGGAGGAACACCAGUGGCGAAGGCGACUUCCUGGCCUGUUCUUGACGCUGAGGCGCGAAAGCUAGGGGAGCAAACGGG